CGAAACAUCUGUCUUCACUGUUCAAACGUGUUCAGUUCAUAUUUUUUUAAAGAAUUUUGAAAAAUUAUUCAAACUGAUUUUUCUCGUUUUUAUUAUUAAACAUUACCUUACAAUUUAAGUUUCAGAUACAGAAAUAUAUGAACGAGUCAAUAGCUUAAUUAAAGGGUGCCUAUAAAGUGCGAAACGAAAAGAAACAAAACGAAACGAAAAGAAACGAAAAAAAGAGAUGAAGUUCCAUAUUUCCACAGAAGGGUGUUGAUCACGUGACAAUUUAUUGAUCUAUAAAACAUAUAUAUAUUCCGAACUCCAGAAACUGUUUUAAUGUUAAAGAGAGCCGCAC
rnacentral:lncRNA from 1 species